ensembl:miRNA aca-mir-5433 aca-mir-5433
AGUUGCCAGGACCAGAGGAGACUGUCAUAAACUUCUACAUAUAUUGUUGAAAUGUUUAGGACUGUCUCCUCUGGUUUCUGACAGUU